rnacentral:rRNA from 1 species
UUUAAAGAGAGUUUGAUCCUGGCUCAGGACGAACGCUGGCGGCGUGCCUAAUACAUGCAAGUCGAACGAACGGAGGAAGAGCUUGCUCUUCCAAAGUUAGUGGCGGACGGGUGAGUAACACGUGGGCAACCUGCCUGUAAGUUGGGGAUAACUCCGGGAAACCGG